rnacentral:rRNA from 1 species
CCUACGGGAGGCAGCAGUGGGGAAUAUUGCGCAAUGGGCGAAAGCCUGACGCAGCGACGCCGCGUGAGGGAUGAAGGUCUUCGGAUCGUAAACCUCUGUCAGCAGGGAAGAACGGUCACUGUGCUAAUCAGCAGUGAAUUGACGGUACCUGCAAAGGAAGCAUCGGCUAACUCCGUGCCAGCAGCCGCGGUAAUACGGAGGGUGCGUGCGUUAAUCGGAAUUACUGGGCGGAAAGCGCUCGUAGGCGGUAUGUCAAGUCAAGGGUGAAAUCCCCGCGCUCAACGUGGGAACUGCCUUUGAAACUGGCUAGCUGGAGUGUGUGAGAGGAUAGUGGAAUUCCAGGUGUAGGAGGGAAAUCCGUAGAUAUCUGGAGGAACAUCAGUGGCGAAGGCGACUAUCUGGCACAUAACUGACGCUGAGGAGCGAAAGCGUGGGUAGCAAACAGGAUUAGAUACCCCUGUAGUC